rnacentral:sRNA from 1 species
ACAACUAAGUAUUAAAAACAGUUCAUCUGUGCCAGCUUCUACUCUGAAUGAGGAAAUAGCCCCAGAAAGAUGGAGUGACUUAGGAGUCCCACAGGUAGGUCGUAACAAAGUGGGGACUAAGUCAGAAUCCCUGCAUGCCUAUGCCCUCUACCCCCAUGUCACUUUAACAAAGGAUGUUGGAGCAGACAGACAUCUCCAUUUUAUAAUGAGGAAACAGAGGCAAAAUGGCUCCAGGGGUGCCAAGUUGGAGCCAGGCUGGAAAUCUCUGGAAGCCGGUCCUGUGGACCUCCCUCAUCCCAGCCCCACCCUCUUUCACACUCCCUCUCCUCACAGGGGACCAUGCAAGGGAGAAGUGAGGGAGACAGGCCUCGAGUUGUGGGCACACCUGCCACAGCCAUGGCCGCGUCCUGUGUCGCAUGAAUAGGGAUUCUUGCACAUCUCUGACGGAAUCACGUGGCUUUUUGAGGCCACUGGGGCAGCCUGCAAAGGUGGCUGCUGGGAUGGCUACCUCCCUCCAACCUCAGGGCCCUGGUUGAAGGAAGGGGCUCAUGGAGCCUGGGGGAGAAGGGAUAGACAUCCAGCCAGGGGCAGAUGGGAAGUGAACUUCCCUGAGGGGGUUUGGCGAAGGGGCAGCCCCCACCCAGCUCUCAGCGCAAUCACAGAUUUUCUUUGGGCUGCACAGAACCUGUCUGUCCUGAAGCAAGUGCGAGAGGAGAUGCAGCUGACCUGGGCCCAGAACGCCAUCACUUCUGGCUUUAACGGUGAGUCCUCACCCCUGUGAGCUGCCCCACAGUGGCCUCUUAGAGGUAUGGCCCUCGCACACAGGGGCCUGGGUAUCUGAACCAGCCUCCCAGGCUGCUUUGGGCCUGACAGUUGCAUGGAUGAGGGCAGGACUGGGGAGGCAAUGGGCUGGGUGGGCAUCCAGACCUUAGCUCCAGCACUUCUGGGAACCUUGGUCCCUGAGUCCACAGCCCUUCAUAGCUGGAUGGCCCAACUUCAGCUUCACUGCCUACUCCAGCUGGGAAACCAAGGCCAGCACAGCGCCAGCCAUCAGAGUGAGAGCUGUCACCGUGGCCAGUGGCAGGGCUUGUCCACUCUAGUGGGGAAAUGGUGAUUGUCUGUGCGGAGCCUCAGGAAACAGAAGCUCAUCCCUAACAGCUCUCUCGAGACCUGGCUGCCACAUUCUCACCAGCAGCCAUGCCCAGUCUGUCACUCAGUUGGGCGCCCAUUUCAUAACUAUGGAGGCCAAGGCCCAGAAAGCUUUGUGUCCCCUCCCUGCGCCCAGAAUAAGAUGUUUAUGUGGCCUCCCCACAGCCCUGGAGCAGAUCCUACAGAGCACAGCGGGCAUAUACUGUGUAGGAGACGAGGUAAGCUGUCCCCAGACCUCCCCAGGCCCAGCCACAGUGGCUGCCUCCCUCAUGCUGACCUCCCUCAAGCUCAGAGCUUCCUGAGAAGGCGUCUGCAGGGGCAUCUCUGUGCCAUGGGACACUCCUCAGCUCACUCCCACUAAACCAUCUCAAGAGGGAGUUACUCAAGGUAGAAGACUGGCUGUGAGAGGAUGAGGCGGGCCAGCAUCAGUUGAGGGAUUGUGCUAGAUGAUGUCUGAGCAGUCAAGGCAAUCCAUCUUCUCUGGCCCUCUCAACCCACAGAGUUGGUUGUCAGGGCAACUGGAGCAUGGCCUGGGAGGGCACUUCAGCUCCGGGGGACAGACUUAUGCAGGCCUAGGGCAGACAAGAAUUGGGGGUGGGAUGGGUGAAAGAGCCGAAGCAGAUUGUUGGUACCCCCAGUAGAGUCGCAGUGGACACACCCAGUCCAGCCACUGAGUCUGGGGUAUGCACCCUGAUGGGAACCCACCGAACCCUCUUUCAGGUGACCAUGGCUGAUCUGUGCUUGGUGCCUCAGGUGGCAAAUGCUGAAAGAUUCAAGGUGGAUCUCACCCCCUACCCUACCAUCAGCUCCAUCAACAAGAGGCUGCUGGUCUUGGAGGCCUUCCAGGUGUCUCACCCCUGCCGGCAGCCAGAUACACCCACUGAGCUGAGGGCCUAGCUCCCAAAUCCUGCCCCGUUGGCACAGGGCCACAGGAGCAGAAGCUGGGUGGGCUGAAGAGGCCUGGAAAUGAGAGUCUUAAUUGAGGAGAUGGGAGACUCGAACUCUAGCCCUGGAUCUGCCUUCCUGCUGAAACUUGUUCCACCUCAGUCCCCUCAUCUGUCACACGCAUGUGGGGUGGAGUAGGGAGAUGCGGGGAGCAGGGUGGGCAGGAAUAUUGUUAUCUAUGUGACGGGGCAGUCGUGAGGCUGAGAUGAGAAUGUGGAUUAAAAUGCCUGGCGUGCUCACCGU